rnacentral:rRNA from 1 species
UGCCAGACUCCUACGGGAGGCAGCAGUGGGGGAUAUUGCACAAUGGGGGGAACCCUGAUGCAGCGACGCCGCGUGGGUGAAGAAGCGCCUCGGCGCGUAAAGCCCUGUCAGCAGGGAAGAAAAUGACGGUACCUGAAGAAGAAGCCCCGGCUAACUACGUGCCAGCAGCCGCGGUAAUACGUAGGGGGCAAGCGUUAUCCGGAUUUACUGGGUGUAAAGGGGGCGCAGACGGCGAUGCAAGCCAGGAGUGAAAGCCCGGGGCCCAACCCCGGGACUGCUCUUGGAACUGCGCGGCUGGAGUGCAGGAGGGGCAGGCGGAAUUCCUGGUGUAGCGGUGAAAUGCUUAGAUAUAACUUAGAACUCCGAUAGCGAAGGCAGCUUACCAGACUGCGACUGACGCUGAAGCACGAGAGCGUGGGUAGCGAACAGGAUUAGAUACCCCCGUAAG